rnacentral:rRNA from 1 species
UGAGGAAUAUUGGUCAAUGGGCGGGAGCCUGAACCAGCCAAGCCGCGUGAGGGAAGAAGGCCCUAUGGGUCGUAAACCUCUUUUGUCAGGGAACAAAAGCGAGUAUGUAUACUAGUCUGAGUGUACCUGAAGAAAAAGGCAUCGGCUAACUCCGUGCCAGCAGCCGCGGUAAUACGGAGGAUGCGAGCGUUAUCCGGAUUUAUUGGGUUUAAACGGGUGCGUAGGCGGCGAUGCAAGUCAGCGGUAAAAUGCCCGGGGCUCAACCCCGGCGAGCCGUUGAAACUGCAGUGCUAGAGAAGGCGAGAGGUACGCGGAAUGCGCAGUGUAGCGGUGAAAUGCUUAGAUAUCACGAAGAACUCCGAUUGCGAAGGCAGCGUACCGGCUCCAUACUGACGCUGAGGCACGAAAGCGUGGGGGAUCGAACAGGAUUAGAUACC